UUUUGCCUUGUAUUCUUUAUGAAGUCUUGUUUGUUUUGGUUGAUAUUUUCUGUUGGCAUUUUGAGUAGUUCUGGUGUUUCUUAUGUUUGUUUCUUUGUUUUUAAGUCAUGGAUUCCUUGUUCAUGUUUGCCCUUUGUGGAGUGGAUGUAUGUACGGACUGAUUAAAUGUGCUUGACCCUCUGCCUGGUAUGGACUAAUUUAAGAUGGGGGAUAAAAUAACCUUGGAUUUCAUCAAAAAUAUCUUAAUUUGUGUUCUGAAGAUGAACGAAGGUCUGGAGCGACAUGAGGGAAGAUGAUUCCGAGGGAGUAACUAGUGAAGAGUUUGAUAAUUGAUAGUUCCUAGUGGAAAGAGUGAAAGCAGCUGAACGUCUUCCUUCGGUAAAAGUGUUACACAAAGACCCCGGGCCAUUCACAGCUGUAGUUCUGGAUUGGAUUUAACAUAUCUACAUAAACAUUCAUAUUUUCCAACAUUUGUAUUUCAGUUAUUAACCAUGUGCUCACUGUUCAGUUUGUUUAUAGUAUUUUUCUAACCAUGUUAUAUCUUGAUCAAACUUUGUAAAACUAAACUUUAGGUGUGGGUUAUGUCGCUGUUUCGUAUUACACUAAUUUUGAUUUUGCAGAUGCCACCUUAUGAAAUUUUUAUAACUAGACACUAAUUUCUUCAGUACAGUCAUUUCUGUUGUAGAGGUAUGUUUGUUUAAUCUUUUAAUGGAGAAAAGUAUCCAUGAAGAACUUUAUUGAUCUUUAUUAAAGAUC